GACGAACGCUGGCGGCGUGCCUAAUACAUGCAAGUAGAACGCUGAAGGAGGAGCUUGCUUCUCUGGAUGAGUUGCGAACGGGUGAGUAACGCGUAGGUAACCUGCCUGGUAGCGGGGGAUAACUAUUGGAAACGAUAGCUAAUACCGCAUAAGAGUAGAUGUCGCAUGACAUUUGCUUAAAAGGUGCAAUUGCAUCACUACCAGAUGGACCUGCGUUGUAUUAGCUAGUUGGUGAGGUAACGGCUCACCAAGGCAACGAUACAUAGCCGACCUGAGAGGGUGAUCGGCCACACUGGGACUGAGACACGGCCCAGACUCCUACGGGAGGCAGCAGUAGGGAAUCUUCGGCAAUGGACGGAAGUCUGACCGAGCAACGCCGCGGGAGUGAAGAAGGGUGUCGGAUCGUAAAGCUCGGUUGUAAGAGAAGAACGAGUGUGAGAGUGGAAAGUUCACACUGUGACGGUAUCUUACCAGAAAGGGACGGCUAACUACGUG
rnacentral:rRNA from 1 species